rnacentral:piRNA from 1 species
UAAGAAGUGGGUGGGUGGGAGGAGAAAGAGC